UUAAGAUUGGGUCAGUGUGGUUGAUUUAUAGCUAGUGAUGCACUUCUGUGUUUACAGCGAGCAUGGUUUGGACAGCGGUAGUAUAGUGGUAUAUAGCUGUAGAGUUUCUUACAGCUUAUUUUACUAUCUUUUACCUAUCAGUUUCAUACUUGUACUGUGGACUUAGUGGGUAGACCGUUGGGGUCGGUGACGAUACCCACUGAGGACUACUCUGUUUUGUAGUAGUUCUCACAUCCAUUGUUGCCAUCUUUUUGCAGAGCCUUCUACUGUUGCUGCUACUAGCUCUGAUCGAGGUAAGGGAUUCACGAGUUAGAUCCCUAUCUUCUCUAGUCAUUUUGCUAGAGGAGUACUCAUAGCAGAGAUAAUUUUGGAUGUUGCCAUAUACAUAUAGUUGUGUUUAGUUGUACUCUCUGAGAUGUGGUGGUACUUUUGGAACUUAUAUAUAUAGUAGGCUUUUUAUUAUAUAUAUGUUUCAGUUUUAACAGCUUUAUACUUCUUAUUGUAGCUAUUAUCUGUUUGCUGGUACAACUAUCGUUUCGUAUAUACAAAAAAAUUUUAUAUAUACGAUAAGUCUAUUGGUGAGAGCAGGAAACGUAAUAAUUCGAGGCGUGACAUUUUUAAUGUUUUUAACUUAUUGUAAAAUAAUAUGAAAAAUGAUGAAAUUUGAAUUUUAUCUCUCACUUAUAUAAAAUCAAACAGUCC
rnacentral:lncRNA from 1 species